AGAUUGAACGCUGGCGGCAGGCCUAACACAUGCAAGUCGAGCGGCAGCACGGGUACUUGUACCUGGUGGCGAGCGGCGGACGGGUGAGUAAUGCCUAGGAAUCUGCCUGGUAGUGGGGGAUAACGCUCGGAAACGGACGCUAAUACCGCAUACGUCCUACGGGAGAAAGCGGGACGUUCGGCCGCUCGCCAUUAGAUGAGCCUAGGUCCGGAAUUAGGCUUAGUUGGUAGUAGGUAAUGGAUCGGACCAGGCCGAACGGACUCCG
rnacentral:rRNA from 1 species